UCCCGGCGCCACAAGUGGAACCCACGAUUAUUGGGCCUAAAGCAUCCGUAGCCGGUUUGUUAAAUUCUCUGUGAAAUCUGGCAGCUUAACUGUCAGGCGAGCAGAGAACACUGGCAAACUUGAGACAGGGAGGAGCAGAGGGUAUUCUAGGGGGAGCGGUAAAAUGUUUUAAUCCUUAGAGGACCACCGAUGGCGAAGGCACUCUGCUAGAACUGGUCUGACGGUGAGGGAUGAAAGCUAGGGGAGCGAUUGG
rnacentral:rRNA from 1 species